AGCAUUGUUAGGAAAAUGAGGGCUUGAAAAGUGGAAUGAUUUUGACAAGAAAAUCUCAUUUCUUUCAGGUUCAUUUUGCUUGAAUUGGAAUUGAAUUACUUACAUUAUCUUUUAUUUAUUUAUAUUGCACUAUGUAGCUAACAGCUCUGAAAAAAAUCCUAGCUCUCCCUGUGCGUUCAAAGGGGUUCCCCAUUCUUGGAGUCCAAUCUCGCUGGAGCUCCUGCAUGGGAAACAUCAGUGCAAUGACAACUUCUACUGAGAGUCCUGCUACAGCCAUGAAGAUAGACGAGCAGUAGGUCAGAGGUAUGAAACAGAAGCUGAGAUCCCCAGAGU